AAUCAACGCUGGCGGCGUGCCUCAGACAUGCAAGUCGAACGCGAAAGUCCCCUUCGGGGGGCAAGUAGAGUGGCGCACGGGUGAGUAACACGUAGGUAAUCUACCUUUGGAUGGGGAAUAACAACCGGAAACGGUUGCUAAUACCGCAUAAUGCAGCGGCACCUAAUGGUGACAGUUGUUAAAGCGGGGGAUCGAAAGACCUCGCGUCUGAAGAGGAGCCUGCGGCGGAUUAGCUAGNGGUAAGGUAACGGCUUACCAAGGCGACGAUCCGUAGCCGGCCUGAGAGGGCGGUCGGCCACACUGACACUGACAUACGGGUCAGACUCCUACGGGAGGCAGCAGUCGGGAAUUUUGGGCAAUGGGCGAAAGCCUGACCCAGCAACG
rnacentral:rRNA from 1 species